rnacentral:rRNA from 1 species
GAUGAACGCUAGCGGCAGGCCUAAUACAUGCAAGUCGAACGGUGUAGCAAUACACAGUGGCGCACGGGUGCGUAACACGUAUGCAACCUACCUCACAUUGGGGGAUAGCCUUUCGAAAGGGAGAUUAAUACCGCAUAAGACAGUAACUGGGCAUCCAGUAGCUGUUAAAGAUUUAUCGAUGUAAGCUGGGCAUGCGUCCAAUUAGUUAGUUGGCGAGGUAAUGGCUCACCAAGACGAUGAUUGGUAGGGGAACUGAGAGGUCAAUCCCCCACACUGGCACUGGGAUACGGGCCAGACUCCUACGGGAGGCAGCAGUAGGGAAUAUUGGGCAAUGGGCGCAAGCCUGACCCAGCCAUGCCGCGUGCAGGAAGAAGGCGUUAUGCGUUGUAAACUGCUUUUAUACAGGAAGAAACGACCCUUGCGAGGGGCAUUGACGGUACUGUAUGAAUAAGCACCGGCUAACUCCGUGCCAGCCGCCGCCGUAAGAC